rnacentral:tRNA from 1 species
GCUCAGUUGGUAAAGCACAAGGCUCUUAACCUUGUGGGCAUGGAUUCAAGUCCCAU